ensembl:snoRNA small nucleolar RNA, C/D box 70B
UUCAAUGUUGUCAAUGAUGCAUUCUUGUUGAAACUGAAUUACAUGAUCUAAUUCAAACUCGUCACUACCACUGAGACAACAUUGAG